rnacentral:rRNA from 1 species
UACAGAGGGUGCGAGCGUUGUCCGGAAUCACUGGGCGUAAAGGGCGCGUAGGUGGCGCUCCAAGUCUGUGGUGAAAGCUCGAUGCUCAACAUCGAGUCGGCCACGGAGACUGGAGGGCUCGAGCACUGUAGGGGCAGAUGGAAUUCCGGGUGUAGCGGUGGAAUGCGUAGAGAUCCGGAAGAACACCGGUGGCGAAGGCGGUCUGCUGGGCAGUUGCUGACACUGAGGCGCGACAGCGUGGGGAGCCAACAGG